AUUUUCCUACGGGGGGCAGCAGUGAGGAAUAUUGGUCAAUGGACGCAAGUCUGAACCAGCCAAGGCGCGUGCAGGAUGACGGCCCUCCGGGUUGUAAACUGCUUUUAGUGGGGAAUAAAAGGGGGCUCGUGAGCCCCGUAUUGUAUGAACCAUAAGAAAAAGGACCGGCUAAUUCCGUGCCAGCAGCCGCGGUAACACGGAAGGUGCGGGCGUUAUCCGGAGUUAUUGGGGUUAAAGGGAGCGUAGGCCGACUGUUAAGUCAGCUGUGAAAGUCCGCGGCUCAACCGUGGUAUUG
rnacentral:rRNA from 1 species